UCGGACAGAAGCACAUUUUUUUCUACUCCACUUUUGCUCAAAUGUUCCCUUUUCCUUUCUUUCUCUUGUUUGCUUUUUUAAUAGUAUCGAUAAUAAAGAAAGGGGUCACUAAGAAGCACCCUUUCCUCCCCCCUGAUCCUCUUACCUGAGCUUGCUGCCUCCUGGGAACAGGGUCAAAGACUGUUGAUAGUGGUGAGAAGUGGCCAGUCCUUCACAAGACAGGGCUGUACUGGAUCUUGUAAUUGAUGACAGGGCCAUGGAAGGAAAGCACAGCCUGGAGGACUCAAAGAGAAGUGGUCAUCUCAUAACCUUGAGGAUGGAAGCUGCAUGCUGAGGAUGGUGGAGCAGAAAGGUAGAAGGAGACUGUAUCCUUAAUGACUUCAUAGAACUGUCCACAUCUGGAGUUCCUUUGCAAAAGAGAAAACCCGAAUAGGAUCUGGAUCCAACUUCACUUUAUCUGUUUCAUAUUUUGUUCAAGAGUUUUCAAUCUAAUUGUAUUGUGUAUGAAAGUGGAAGCUUUGAUGGAGUCAUCAAGAUAGAAUGUGCAGGAGUGUGAGAAGAUUCACCAGAGACAGAGCAGGAACAGAACAGGCAGACUGAUGAAAUAUACUGCUGAGGGGAGCAGCAGACGAGACAGGAGAGGUCUGUGGUGUCAUGUGGGACCCUCGCCAAUGGGCCAGAAUCGAACCUGUGCUGCAGAGGCUGCGGACAGCUUCACAGUGCAGCACUCAA